AGUUUACGUUGCCAUCAGGUUAAGCUGGGCACUCUAAAGAGACUGCCGUCGAUAAGGCGGAGGAAGGUGGGGACGACGUCAAGUCAUCAUGGCCCUUAUGUCUAGGGCUACACACGUGCUACAAUGGGUUAUACAGAGGGCAGCUAGCUCGCGAGAGUCUGCGAAUCCCUUAAAGUAAUCCUCAGUUCGGAUUGUAGUCUGCAACUCGACUACAUGAAGUUGGAAUCGCUAGUAAUCGCAGGUCAGCAAAACUGCGGUGAAUACGUUCCCGGGCCUU
rnacentral:rRNA from 1 species